GGUGGGAUGGCCGAGUGGCUUAAGGCGGCAGCCUUGAAAGCUGCUGUGGCGCUAACGCGCCACCGUAGGUUCGAAUCCUACUCCCACCGCCA
rnacentral:tRNA from 1 species